UACGUAGGGUCCGAGCGUUGUCCGGAAUUACUGGGCGUAAAGAGCUCGUAGGUGGUUUGUCGCGUUGUUCGUGAAAACUCACAGCUCAACUGUGGGCGUGCGGGCGAUACGGGCAGACUGGAGUACUGCAGGGGAGACUGGAAUUCCUGGUGUAGCGGUGGAAUGCGCAGAUAUCAGGAGGAACACCUAUGGCGAAGGCAGCUCGCUGGGACGGUACUGACGCUGAGACGCGAAAGCGUGGGGAGCGAACAGG
rnacentral:rRNA from 1 species